GAUGAAGAACGUAGCGAAAUGCGAUACUUGGUGUGAAUUGCAGAAUCCCGUGAACCAUCGAGUCUUUGAACGCAAGUUGCGCCCGAAGCCAUUCGGCCGAGGGCACGUCUGCCUGGGUGUCACGCAUCGUUGCCCCCCCAAACUCCGGUUCGGGCGGGGCGGAAGUUGGCCUCCCGUGCGUGCCUGCGCGCGCGGUUAGCCCAAAAGCGAGUCCUCGGCGAUGAGCGCCACGACAAUCGGUGGUUUUUUUACCCUCGUUCCUCGUCGUGCGUGCCCCGUCGCCCGAACGCGCUCUUGCAACCCUUACGCGUCGCCUCGGUGGCGCUCCCAACGCGACCCCAGGUCAGGCGGGACUACCCGCUGAGUUUAAGCAUAUCAAUAAGCGGAGGA
rnacentral:misc_RNA from 1 species